GGAGGAGUCGCAUAGUGGUCGAUUGCGCUUGCUUGGAAAGCAAGUAGAGCUGAAAGGUUCUCGUGGGUUCGAAUCCCACCUCCUCCGCCA
rnacentral:tRNA from 1 species